UACAGAGGUCUCAACCGUUGUUCGGAUUCAUUGGGCGUAAAGGGUGCGUAGGCGGUCGUGCAAGUCGGAUGUGAAAUCUCAGGGCUCAACCCUGAAACUGCAUUCGAUACUGCGCGGCUAGAGUGCAGGAGGGGAGACUGGAAUUUACGGUGUAGCAGUGAAAUGCGUAGAUAUCGUAAGGAAGACCAGUGGCGAAGGCGAGUCUCUGGACAGCAACUGACGCUGAGGCACGAAGGCCAGGGGAGCAAACGGG
rnacentral:rRNA from 1 species